rnacentral:rRNA from 1 species
UACAGAGGUCUCAAGCGUUUGUUCGGAUUCAUUGGGCGUAAGGGUGCGUAGGCGGCGUGGUAAGUCGGGUGUGAAAUCUCGGAGCUUAACUCCGAAACUGCAUUCGAUACUGCCGUGCUUGAGGGACUGGGAGAGGAGACUGGAAUUUUACGGUGUAGCGGUGAAAUGCGUAGAUAUCGUAAAGAAGACCAGUGGCGAAGGCGGGUCUCUGGACAGUUCCU